CAGAGAAGUAUCUGCUCAGUGUUUCUAGCCACUGGCCAAGGGGGCAGAAGCAGAGGUAGACUCUAGAAGUUGCACAUACCUUGAGAGCUGCCAUAUGGCAGCACGUACAGUCUAUUAAACUGGAGUGGAUGAAGACUAAGAUAAUGGGCCUGGUCAGGAAACGAGGACCAGAUGACAACGAGGAUGAAAACCACCAUCCCCCUCAUUCUAAGAGAACAAGGAAGGACCAGGCCCUACAGGAUCCUCGUGCUAUGGAGGCGACAAGCAGUGGAAAUAGAAAGAACCAAACCAACAUCAAUAAUCCCAACCAUGAGAGAGUGCCCGAAAAUGACGUAAAUCAGAGCACUGCUAAAUUAGACUCCAGUAUCCCUGGGUUGUCCCAAAAGGAGGAGUAUGAAGUCUGCCAAGACCAAGAAUCUUACUCACACAUUAACAACAUCUUGAAGGAGGCUCAUUUUUAUAGCCUCCAAAAGAGAAGACAUUCUCUGAGCUGAAGGCUUUGGCAUUCUCCUUGUUGGUUAAUAUAUUAAAAACCAACGGCAUUCAUGCAAAGC
rnacentral:lncRNA from 14 species